CCGGUUAAUUUUGACCAAUCAACAAAGCGAUCGUAACUGACAGUUCUGUGAAUGGAGUGACAAAGAAGUUGGCGGGAGCUGCUUCCAAGUUUGGUGUGUCUUUGUUUGCACGUGCUCUGACAAUGAAAACAAAGUCACGAUGCAAAAAAAUGGAUUUUUACGCAAAGCAGACACUUCAGACACAGAAGGAAUAAAGUGAAAAUGAAUGUGGUCAGGAGAAAUCGGUUAGGUGUGAAGCUGAAAUAUAUUAGGUGCAAUGAUGUACAAAAUGAGAGUAGAGGGUAGGAAAGAUUAAACCUUGACAACAAUGUGUGAAGAAUCUGAGAAAAAUACCUCAUUCAUAAACAUUGAGUUUUAUACCUGUUCACCUGGCAAGACACUUCCCAUAUAAAUGUGAGGAGUUGCACCUCUGUGACAGGGCCGAGAAGAUUUCUA